CAGUCGCCGCGGUAAUACGGAGGGGGCUAGCGUUGUUCGGAAUUACUGGGCGUAAAGCGCACGUAGGCGGCUUGGUAAGUUAGAGGUGAAGGCCCGGAGCUCUACUCCGGAAUUGCCUUUAAGACUGCCGAGCUAGUAGGUGAGAGAGGUAAGUGGAAUUCCGAGUGUAGAGGUGAAAUUCGUAGAUAUUCGGAAGAACACCAGUGGCGAAGGCGGCUUACUGGCUCAUUCUAGACGCUGAGGUGCGAAAGCGUGGGGAGCAAACAGGAUUAGAUACCCGCGUAGUCCCUGUCUCUUAUAC
rnacentral:rRNA from 1 species